ensembl:lincRNA
UGUUAUGCGAAAGCUGGACACCAGGCUGUCUGCGUUCAUUGUCCUUUUCUUCUCCACAGAGGAUAUGUGACCAGAUGCUUCGAAGUCCUACUGCCUUUUACUUCCCAUGAUGCUUUGCAACUCUCAAUGGAAGCUGGAAAAAAACCCAUUCCCCUAAGUCUCUUUGGUCUGAGAAAUUUCAUCACAGUGACAGGGAAAAAAAAAUGGAGUUUAGAUUCACGCAAUAAAGAAACACUGUACUUACCUCAGACAGAGCUUCCCGUUUCAUCAAAGGAGUGGACCUGCUGAAGCUGAAGUGUACUUCUGGGGACACUAUGAUCAAGACUCAUCCAAGGCUCAGCAGAACCACCUGCAGCACCGGCAAGGUCUGAAAACCUUCCAUCCUUCCGAGAGGCCCUGCAGACAGUUUCACAGGUUGCUGAGCGUGGGCAGAACAACCUGUCCAGCCAACACACAUCCCAGCGAAUUUAUCCUCAGUCCUCACCGGACUCAAAGCUGGAGGCUAGAAUGCAAGCCACCAGUGGAUCUGGUGUCUGCUCAGGGUGACAAGACCUAGGCUGAGAGAUUAGGAAAGGGCUAGAAAUCUGAGUCACUGGCUGAGCAAACUCCAGGUCAAUGAUUGACCUUCUCAAAAGGAAUAGAUAAAUGAUUGAGAAAAAAAAAGCAUCCCAUCAUCAACCUUUGCCCUCCACAACUGCCUACAGAGAGAGACUCUUCUGGACAAAAAGAUGUCAUCUGCAGGUGACACCAGUCAAAAGAACCCACUAAGCACCAAACCUUGGACUGCAGGACAAAACUCAACCCUUCCUGAGGGUCGGUUCCUUGGAUAUGACUGGAGUUGCUCCAGAUAUUACAAUUAAAAUAAGGGCAUUCUGUUACAUUAUAUUCCCUGGGAAUGUUCAUUAAAAUUAAAAGAGGUAUAGGAGGUGAAGGAGGAAGAGGAGGAAAAGAAAGAAGAGGAGGAGGAGGAAGAAGAAGAAGAGGAAGAGAAGGAGAAAGCUGCUGCUGCUGCUGCUGCUGACGACUACCUGGGCUCUGCACAGCUUCCCUGGCCAUACCCCUUCCCACACACCUGCAGGAAGACCACAGCAGCCACAGUGAAUGGGUCGGUACCAAGGUCAGUUCAUAAUAAAGAGCUUUCCAGAAGCCCCCACCCCCACCCCAAGCCAACAGGAAUUGGCAAUGAACUUUAAGAAAAGGCUACGCGAGCCAGGAAACAACUUAGGGCUGUUUAAUUUUCCUGACAUGAACACUGGCCACCCAAGGGGAUAAAGGAAACACCUGUCCCCCAUGGGCAGCCAUUCUGCAGGGCGUAUGGACAUCCAGAAAGCUGCUGACAUGGUUCUUACACCCGACAAGUUAGAGACAAAUGAACCUGUGGAAAGAGUGGUUUCACGGAAGACCAUGGACUCCAGCCUGGGUCUCAGCUCUGCCCUUGACUAGAAAGAGGCCACUAGAAUCAGCAACCCUGCCUCUAAGAAGAACCUAAGUUUCUUGCACAGUAGUCUCUCACUGGCUCUUAUUGAGAAUCAUAAAGGAAGCAACAACACUUGGGAGCAUUUGAAAGUGGAAAAACAAAACAACAACAACAACAACAACACGUGAAAAUGACUUUGGGGGAAAUUAAGGAACCAGCAAUUGCAAGACAGGAGAAUCCCUGGGAAGUGAGGCACAGCGGAACAGUCUGAGCACAGAGGUUCAGGGUCAGGGAAGGGUGCCAGGCGAGUUCCCAUAACGCAGGACACUGCCCAAGCCAGCUUCAUAAAACGUCACUCCAUUGAUUUUAGGCUCAAUGGAAACAUCUCUUGGCUGUUUGCUGAAUUUAGACACUUUAAAAAGUUUUCUUUGACUGAACAAGGGGUUCCUGAGACCAGCUUCCUGCGGGUAUCUUGGUAAACAAGCCUCCCACCACGAAUUUCCUUGCUGUUACUGUAACUGGUUUUAACUGCACUUGGGUUUGUUUUGUUUGUUUUUUUGUUGUUUUUUUUUUUUUUGUUUUUUCCUUGUCCUUUUCAGACAGUUACACUUAAAAGGUGCUAAAUUUUCAAUGAGAGAUGUAGGUUUGAGAGAAUGUGUUUGCACUCCCUUGAUGGAUCCUGUUGGUCCUGAGGCAGAUCCCCUUCCCAGACAAUGUCCCCUUGUACAGAAAACACACAUCCUUGGAGAAGUGAGGUGCUAUGAGGCAGUGGCUUGGCAAGCCUUGGCUGUGCCUUGAUCUGCUAGCCUCCAACCCCAGCUGUGCAGGUACUGUGUAAGGUGCUCCACCGUGCCUUAGCCGUAGUAAGCAUCCUAGGUUAAUGAGGUAAUAAAGAUCAUAUGAUUUGUGAGGUCACCUGAUACAUGGAAGAGACUUGUGGUCCUCCAUUUUGUUAUGUGGAGAGUGGGGGAGAUGGCAGGCUAGUGGAAUUCAGGAGUCAAGAAACAUGAUGCGACCAGUUAUAUAUCACAAAAAAAAGAAGGAUGAGAAGGAAGAGGAGGAGGAGGAGGAGAAAAGGAAAAGAAAGGACGAAAAAAGAAAAGUUGAAGGAAACAGCAGACUCCCAGGUCUUUAUGAACCAGAAAUGGUUUCAUCAUCUUUGGGAAAUGCAGAUUGUCGUCUCAGACCCCAGAUAUUUCACACCAACAAAAACCAUCUGUCUGCUUCAUCUACAAACCAACCUCUUCUUCCUGCCUUUGGUAUAGGUUAUCAGCUCUUUAAUAAACCAAUCAGAAUGUUAGAGAGGGAGUGUUUACAAAAUAUGAUGUAGCCACAUGAAUAAUAAUACCAAAGUCCAGUCUACACUCAACUCUGCAGGCAUAGAAACCAGCAUUUGAGUAAUUCGAAGAUAACAUUUACUCUGUGCAUAAUAAUAUUAUUCCAGCACACGAAUGGAGCUUUGUGAUGGAGUAAUGACAGAAGGAGGCUCACGUGUGGGCAGUGGGCUAGUUUCUGAUAGUGAAAGGACAGGGAAGGACAGGAGAACGCUCUCAGGGAAUGACGGACAGAGUAAGAUAAGGUGGGUUUUAAACUUAGGUUUUCAAAGAGCUUUCAGGAAAUCUAAGUAGAAAAACAUUUGAAUAUGUUGGCCUAAUGCACGAUCUUUUGACCUACCAUUUUACAUGGAAAAUCUUUACAUGAACCCAAUUAUAUCAGUAAAUAAAAUAAGCCUAUAAGUCAAACAUUUACUAAAAAUGAGUUUU